CUGUGUACCACGUCAGUUAGAUCGUUCGAACAUGGGGGCUUGAACAUUUCGAUUAUCCGUAGUGGGGACUUAUCGAUACUUCCUUCCCUCGCCGCAAGCGUACCAAUGGCCGUUGCCGCUUUUGUCGAUGCGGCGUUUGAGGUCCGAGGUCCUCUCCCGGUAAAACCUCUGUUCCGGCCACGAAGUGUUCCGGUAUCUUCUCGACACGUGCAGCGAGAGUCGGGCUGCCUCGUGCUACCAGCAGCGACUGGAGCCGACGAGCAGCCCGGGCUUGUGAGACGCACAGCAGACGCUCCACUAGCCGCGCCAGGUCAAGAUGUGAGCCUUUAGCCUUCUUCUUGCCGCGCGGCACCUCCACGUCAAGAAGAACUUACUGGACGGCCCCUUGCUAAAGUUGGAGCAGAAAGCCAGUGACCUCGUUGAACUUCUAGAGCCGCCGUUACUCUGCGUCGGGAUGAUACACCGCCCGGACGGCCCUAGGAUGAUGUCCUUCGAAAAGGGAAGAGCCUCGCAGGUAAAGAAGGUGAGCAGGAUGAGGGAGUACACCGCGAGAUUCCAGGGACUCCUUGAGAGUUCCACGUGAGUGCACUUGCUUCCGUUGUAGAUGUAACCUUUCUGAUGGGGUGGAUAACACUAAUUCGACAAGGUUGUCGUUAAGUUUUGCCUGAAACUCAACAAGGAACGUGACGCGAGGUCUCUCGAACAGUUGCCUCCGGCUUACAACGAUUGUAAAGAACCUUCUUUCUCACUUCUCUACUACUACGUGCCCCUACAAUCGUGGAAUAAACUUAACCAACGGUUUAGAGAGGUCAGAGACCAGGAUUUCCAUGUAGGUAUGUACAACCAAUGUAGUUACUAAACGAAACAAACGGUCAUUGCUAAUGCGGUACAAUGAGAAAUGAUUGUUUGAAUAUCAACGAAUACACUGAACUAUACGAGGAAUUAAUUAAGUAAGAUCGUACCGUCGACAGGUAGUUGUUUUAAAGUAGGCACAUUCUGUCACUGUAUUUAAUAGCGUACUCCUCGUAUGUUUCACUUCAUGUGUAAGAGCAUUUUCCUCUUCUUUUAACCGUGCACUUUAAAUUUUCACUCCUAUUUUCUUAAGUACACGUUUAAUUAUGUUAUUAAUCUAACCUAAAGUCACUCUUUUCAAAUUACUUAUUGCAGAGAUGUUUUAUCCUCAAGAGUAAACCAUGUGAGAAUAGAUUUUAUAAUAACUCAACCUACUAUCCCGGCACACCUCUUCCUCUUCGACCUGAGUAAGUUGGACGGUAUGAUGCGAGGUAGCCACUUUCUCUACUUCCGCAACUAGUUACUCUGAUUCGAGAAACUAUAGCUCGUACAGUCUGAGAAACUUAGGUUGACCCUAGGAGUCCUGCUGAGCCUUUCACUACACCAUGAUCUGAAACGAUCGUCGCCCCGUUUACACCGGUUCACGUAUUCCCGGCACAACCUCGGUGACUAUCGUCUGGUGAAACCUCUACUGUAAUAACUCCUCGAUAAGCACCACAUACGAAGAUAGCAACGUUUCGUAGAGCUCUUUCGCUUCCGUUUCAUGGGGUAGUAGCACCGUAGGAACUUCUUCCGGUAGGUAACUUGACCUGUGUUGCAAGUAGCGCUUUCCUUUUCCGGUGUAUCAAAUUAACCACCAUAUACAACUUGUAAUAUUCCAACUGCGGAUGAUACCAGUUUAUAGUGUAUACACAACGAGUGGAUAAAAAGAUUCUGUUUUCAGAGAGAAAAACACGAGAUAUUACUUUUAAUGUUUUUAACAUUUCAGUAUUUAUUUAAUUCAUGGUUACCAGGUAUUAGUCGGGUCUUGAAAAGUACAUAAAUUAGUCACCUCGUUUCUGUUUACAAGGUAAC
rnacentral:rRNA from 1 species